rnacentral:rRNA from 1 species
GGGGGAUAUUGCGCAAUGGGGGAAACCCUGACGCAGCAAUGCCGCGUGAAGGAAGAGGGUCUUCGGAUUGUAAACUUUUGUCUUUGGUGACGAAGAAUGACGGUAGCCAAGGAGGAAGCUCCGGCUAACUACGUGCCAGCAGCCGCGGUAAUACGUAGGGAGCGAGCGUUGUCCGGAUUUACUGGGUGUAAAGGGCGCGUAGGCGGGCCUGCAAGUCAGAUGUGAAAUACCGGGGCUUAACCCCGGGGCUGCAUUUGAAACUGUGGGUCUUGAGUGCGGGAGAGGAAAGCGGAAUUCCUAGUGUAGCGGUGAAAUGCGUAGAUAUUAGGAGGAACACCGGUGGCGAAGGCGGCUUUCUGGACCGUAACUGACGCUGAGGCGCGAAAGUGUGGGGAGCAAACAGGAUUAGAUACCCUGGUAGUCCACACCGUAAACGAUGGAUACUAGGUGUAGGGGGUAUCGACCCCCCCUGUGCCGCAGCUAACGCAAUAAGUAUCCCACCUGGGGAGUACGGCCGCAAGGCUGAAACUCAAAGGAAUUGACGGGGACCCGCACAAGCAGUGGAGUAUGUGGUUUAAUUCGAAGCAACGCGAAGAACCUUACCAGGGCUUGACAUCCCAAGAAUCCUGUAGAGAUACGGGAGUGCCUUCGGGAACUUGGAGACAGGUGGUGCAUGGUUGUCGUCAGCUCGUGUCGUGAGAUGUUGGGUUAAGUCCCGCAACGAGCGCAACCCUUACUGUCAGUUGCCAUCAUUGAGUUGGGCACUCUGGCGGGACUGCCGUUGACAAAACGGAGGAAGGUGGGGACGACGUCAAAUCAUCAUGCCCCUUAUGUCCUGGGCUACACACGUACUACAAUGGCCGUAACAACGGGAAGCGAAGCAGCGAUGUGGAGCAAAUCCCUGAAAAACGGUCCCAGUUCAGAUUGCAGGCUGAAACCCGCCUGCAUGAAGGUGGAAUUGCUAGUAAUCGCGGAUCAGCAUGCCGCGGUGAAUACGUUCCCG